rnacentral:rRNA from 1 species
CAGCCGCCGCGGUAAAACGUAGGUGGCAAGCGUUGUCCGGAAUUAUUGGGCGUAAAGGGCUCGCAGGCGGUUUCUUAAGUCUGAUGUGAAAGCCCCCGGCUCAACCGGGGAGGGUCAUUGGAAACUGGGAAACUUGAGUGCAGAAGAGGAGAGUGGAAUUCCACGUGUAGCGGUGAAAUGCGUAGAGAUGUGGAGGAACACCAGUGGCGAAGGCGACUCUCUGGUCUGUAACUGACGCUGAGGAGCGAAAGCGUGGGGAGCGAACAGGAUUAGAUACCCGCGUAGUCCCUGUCUCUUAUAU